rnacentral:rRNA from 1 species
GACGAACGCUGGCGGCGUGCUUAACACAUGCAAGUCGAACGGAAAGGCCCUGCUUUUGUGGGGUGCUCGAGUGGCGAACGGGUGAGUAACACGUGAGUAACCUGCCCUUGACUUUGGGAUAACUUCAGGAAACUGAGGCUAAUACCGGAUAGGAGCUCCUGCUGCAUGGUGGGGGUUGGAAAGUUUCGGCGGUUGGGGAUGGACUCGCGGCUUAUCAGCUUGUUGGUGGGGUAGUGGCUUACCAAGGCUUUGACGGGUAGCCGGCCUGAGAGGGUGACCGGCCACAUUGGGACUGAGAUACGGCCCAGACUCCUACGGGAGGCAGCAGUGGGGAAUAUUGCACAAUGGGCGGAAGCCUGAUGCAGCAACGCCGCGUGCGGGAGGACGGCCUUCGGGUGGUAAACCGCUUUCGCCUGUGACGAAGCGUGAGUGACGGUAAUGGGGAAAGAAGCACCGGCUAACUACGU